rnacentral:lncRNA from 1 species
UGAAUCAGCUAUGAGUUGAAAGAGAUGUUAUCAGUCCUUUCCAAUUCAGAUUUAGUACUCCAGAAGUUUGCCUCAAAAUACUGCAUUUCUAUAACACACUGUCUACCUUGGCUCAUUAAAAAAAAAAAAAAAAAAAAAAAAAAAACUCUUCUUUUAACUUCAAACAACUCCGAAGAUUGUUUUCCCACAGAAUUCUAAAGAUUUUGUGACUUGUUUGUGAAGCAAUUAACUUGGACUUUCAGAAAUUUGUUCUAGAACUCUGAGAUGUCUUCAGUUUACAAGUCUGUUGCCCUAGGUGAUAGAUUCAAUCUUUUAAGUCUGUUGAUUGUAUAUACUGGAAUAUAUGUUUAGUGGGUUACAAACCCAAUUUAUCUUUUUCAAUUUAAUUUUGUUUUAUAUGUUGGGUAUGGCUCUGACUACCACUCCUAAGAAAAACAUCUUAGGUCCUUAAUGAAGGCCAUGGUUUCCCUUUGUCCUCCUAGGAUUCUGCAAAUUUUUUUAUUGAGCCAUCUGGAAGGGGACAUGGAGACAGCCUAAAGAAAGAAAUAAGUUAUGAAUGAAAAAAGCAAGUGAUAGAAGAAUACAUAUGGUAUGAUUCACAGAAGAAUACUUGCAAUGUGAUCCAUUUAUAAAAUGUUCUAAAAGAGACAAACCAACAAUAUAUUGUCUAGGGAUACAGUCAAAGGACAGGGAAUGAUUACAACAAAAAUCAAGGUACUAGUUACCUGGGGAUGGUUAAGGAGAGGGAUGUAACCUCAGAAGGGUACACAAAAUGUAUUUCUGAUAUUACUGGUGGUGUAUUUCUUAACCUGAAUCAUAAAUAUGUACACA